rnacentral:lncRNA from 1 species
AAUAGUAGCCAUCCUGAUGGCUGUAAGGUUAUCUUCGUGUCUCUCACAAAGAUACCUGUCACUGAUUUAGGGCCCACACAGAUAAUCCAGGAUUAUUUCAUCAAGAUCCUUAAUUACAUUUGCAAGACCAGUUCUCCAAGUAAGGUCACAUUCACAGGUUCCAGGGACUCAAACAUUGACGUAUCUUUUGGGAGACCACCCUUCAACCCAUUAUUCUCCCUUUAUUUUCCUGCUUGAUACCUAUUCCAUCUGACGUAUAUUUACUCAUUUAUUAUCUUGUUUAUUGACAGACAAUAAUCAAAAUAUAUCCAUGAGGACAAGCAUUUUUGCCUGCUUUGUUUCCAGGGUUUAGAAUACUGUCUGGAUGGAGUUCCCAUCGUGGCUCAGUGGUUAACGAAUCCGACUAAGAACCAUAAGGUUGCGGGUUCGGUCCCUGUCCUUGCUCAGUGGGUUAACGAUCCAGUGUUGCCGUGAGCUGUGGUGUAGGUUGCAAACACAGCUCGGAUCCUGUGUUGCUAUGGCUCUGGCAUAGGCUGGUGGCUAUAGCUCCGAUUCGACCCCUAGCCUGGGAACCUCGACAUGCCACGGCGGCCCAAGAAAUGGCAAAAAGACAAAAACAAAACAAAACAACAAAAAAAACCACUGUCUGGCAUAAAUGGCUAUUCAGCGGAUAUUGGUUAAAUGAAGGGGUGGCUAGCCUAGGUAAAUACUGGCAGAAAUUCCCUCUCCCUCCUUUGAGGGGAAAAGGUUGGAUGUGGGGUAUUAGAUUACCUACAGCAGGUUUCUUCCUGUAGGAAUGCAAUCUCCUUAAGAUUACCCAUCAAUGAGGACACACUUCAGGGUUCUCUUUAACGGAAAAAAAAUUAGAAAUACAAGGAUUUCUCCUUGUGGCACAGCUGAAAGGAAUCCGAUUAGUAUCCAUGAGGAUACAGGUUCAAUCCCUGGCCUUGCUCUGUGGGUUAAGGAUCCUGGGUUGCUGUGUGCUCUGGUGGUAGGUUGCAGAUGUGGCUUGUAUCCCAGGUUGCUAUGUCUCUGGCCAGCAGCUGUAGCUCCGAUUUGACCCCUAGCCUGUGAACUUUCAUAUGCCACAAAUGUGGCCCUAAAAAGCAAAAAAAAAAAAAAAAAAAAAAAAAAAGGGGGGGGGGAUGCAAAAACCUUGCUUCUGUUGUCAAUUAGGAUUCCUUGGAUAAAUGGCUGAUUUUGCGUCUAGGGCAGGAAAUGUACAAAAUGGAAUGCAAGGUGGCCUCUAACGACUAACAGAAUUAUGUCAAAAACCCACUUCUGAAAAGAGAUUUUUUUUUUUUGCUUUUUAGGGCUGCAUCCCCGGCAUAUGGAAAUUCCUGGGCUGGGGUCAAAUCGGAGCUACAGCUGCCAGCUUACACCACAGCAACGUGGAAUCUGAGCUCAAUCUCUGACCUACAUCGCAGCUCACUGCAACGCCAGGUCCUUAACCCACUGAACGAGGCCAGGGAUCGAACCCGCAUCCUCAUUGAUACUUGUUGGAUUUGUCUCCGCUAUGCAACAUCAGGGAACUCCUGAAAAGAGAUCUUAAAAGAGGCUUUUUUUGAACUGCUGCUACUCAGGGAGGCUUGCCUCAUAAAAUUUCCUUAAAAGUACAAGCAUGUUUGCCUUGGUCCACCUGCCUUCUUAAGAGAUUAAGAGCAGCACACACACCACCAAGCCCUCUAAGAGAGCUUCUGUAGGGUUUGUGUUUAGCAAGGAAGGCAGGUAGCAAAGCAAGCACUGGACCCCACGUGCACUUGGCACAGGCCCAUCGCAGCCACGAGGCCAGGUUUCGUUCUACUCCACAUCGCUCUCCACUCUGAGACCUAAAUCACUGCGGGCCAGCGGACGAGACCCACAGCCCAAGCGACCGCAGGUCCCAAAUCUUCACCCAGGGGACAGUCAGUGUCCGACAAGUUGAGAGAGAACCAUAGGGCUGGAGUACACACACGAGACGCCGCCGAGCCCCGCACUUUGGGAGCACAGUCUAGUGACAAUUAGACCUUCUCGCAUCUUCCCUCCUGCCACACAUCCCUCGCUCGGACUCAAUCUCCGCCUCCGCUUCCCUGAAUCACACCCCAGGGUGACUACUUGUGAAUACUUUAGUGUGUACCCCGAGUAGGGGAGUGUCAGAGAAACAACCACGGCAACACCGUCAUCAUAAGCAACAAAACCGACAAACUCCUAAAAUCAGGAACACCUCGGCCUGCGAGAAUUCCCACUGGCUCGGAAUGUCGUCUCCGGUCGGCUGGUUUGCAUCUUCGCCGAGUCCCGGCCCCCAAAGCCCGGGCAGGCCGCUCCAGGCACUCCUGCACCCCAAACGGGCUCUCUCACACAGGCACCUGCCCGGCGGGAUCUCCGAAGGGUCCGCUGGCGCCUGGACUCCGCCCUUCCCACCUCGGGCGGACCCCGAGUCCGGCCGCCCGCGUGGACCCAACCUUCCACUAACCAACCCUCCACUCAGCGAGGGAGGUGGACCCGGAGCCCAGACGAGCGGGGCGCAACGCCGGAUGUGGGGGGCGAAGGGGAGGGUGGCCGAGCGGAUUAGCGCGUGCGUCGUGCCCGAUCGGCCGUCCAGUGUAUACGGCGAGCGGGGCGCAAACGCGCGCAAACGCGCCCGGACAGAAAGCCCUCGAGGGCGGGUGAGCGAGCCGACAGCGCCGCGGAAGAGGAGACCACGCCUGCGCGUCUCGCGCGUGCGCCCUCGCCCUUCGGCCGCGCCGCGGGGCCGGAAAAGCAGGAGU